UACAGGAGCAGGAGGAACUAACUGAACUGAAACAAGAUCGUGGUUUAAAGCUAAGAUUUGCUGAACUUCCUUUGGACAGUUUUUGGUUGACUGCUGCCAAGGAAUUCCCCAUUCUGGCCAACAAAGUUUUGACAUUGCUCCCAUUUUCCACAACAUAUGUGUGUGAGCUGAGCUUUUCAAGCCUAACUGCUAUAAAAACUAAAAACAGAGAGAGACUGAAAGCUGGUGAAGAAGAGCUUUGUGUAUGCCUUUCUUCAAUUCCUGUCAGGAUAUCGGCUUUGUGUUCAUCUAAACAGGCCCAGGUUUCACACUGAGAAGCUGCCUUAAUCACGAUGUACCCAGGCUACGCAGGCAGGACCGAGUUCCGGGACAACCUGGAGGCCGCUUCAGAUCCGUCUCCAUGAUUGUGCCCGACCACGCCGUCAUCGCAGAGGUGGACUUGUGAGCUGAGGGCUUCAAGUCCAGUGAGACUCUGGCGAAGAAGAUGAUUCAGCUGUAUAAGCUGUGCAGCAAGCAGCUUUCCCGGCAGGACCACUACGACUUCAGCAUGAGAGUCGUCAACUCUGUUAUCGUCAUGGCCGGGUAUGUCCGUCUACGAACAGGGUGAACAUAUUAGAUUAGAUUAGAUUCAUCCGUUGUUUUUUCUAAAUUGUUAAUUAAAACUAUCUAUAAAUGUAACAGAUGUCUU